rnacentral:rRNA from 1 species
CUGGAGACAGGUGCUGCAUGGCUGUCGUCAGCUCGUGUCGUGAGAUGUUGGGUUAAGUCCGCAACGAGCGCAACCCUUGCCUUUAGUUGCCAGCAGUUCGGCUGGGCACUCUAAAGGGACUGCCGGUGUUAAACCGGAGGAAGGUGGGGAGUGACGUCAAGUCCUCAUGGCCUUUAUGACCAGGGCUACACACGUACUACAAUGGCCGAUACAAAGGGCAGCGACACUGCGAGGUGAAGCCAAUCCCGUAAAAUCGGUCUCAGUCCGGAUUGGAGUCUGCAACUCGACUCCAUGAAGUUGGAAUCGCUAGUAAUCGUGGAUCAGCAUGCCACGGUGAAUACGUUCCCGGGCCUU